UUGUUUUUACCGCGCCGGUAUAAAAGAGGUUCCCGAGGAAACCCUAGCCGCAUUCGCGCCCUCCCUUGGCGUGCUGCUCGCGAGAGGCGGCUGGCGGCUGGCGCCGCUCCGCCUUCCUGGCUGGCCGCCCUGUCCUCCCCUCCCCUCGCGCCCCAUCCUCCGGCUCCUCCUAUGGGCCAGCGCCGCUGCCUCCCCGCCUCCUCCCCGCCGCCUUUUCCAUCCUGCUACAGCAACAGAGGAGACGCGGGUCUCCACGACGGCCACCAUGGCACAGCGGGGCGGGGCUUGGGGAAGGGCUGGCCUAGAGGAGGAGCAAGGUGGAGGAGGACCUUCAUGACGUGGCCAUGCCUUCUCCUCCCAGCUCGGCCAAAUUGGACUGCUGAGAUCUGUGGGCAGAGCUAUGAAUUAGACCACCUAUGUUGAAAUUUCUCAGAUCUUGAGUUUUCUCACGUAUGUGCUACUCCAGUCCGUGUGCAGUUUGGUAGAUGGAAUUAAAGUGCAGAUGACGGCGGAGCAGGAAGCCUUCCACUCCUACAGGAUUACCAAGAAUUUUCUUUUCACCCAAUUUAUAUCAUGGGUUCUAUACUUCUAUUAUCUAUUGGAAUUAUUUUUACUCUAAUAGCUUCUGGUGGUUUGUAUGUACGAGGUUUGCCUACGAAAUAACACUGACCAUACUACAGUAUCUUCGUAUAUAAGUGCCUACGAAAUAACACCGACCAUAAAGGCAUGUUGCCAUUGGAAACAAAAUGUAUACUCUAUUUUUGACUUUGGUCGACUGAAAUCAUGGCUUAGAAAUCAACAUCACAGCCUCUUGGACACAUAAGAUAUGUGUUCUCGCUGAUGUUUUCAGGUCAAAUUCAUUCACCCUGAUGCUUCAUGUGAUUUACUUAUGUCCCUAAUGCUACGAAUUCUGAAUCCAACACAUGUCUACCAAAUAUUCUUAAUUUAGUCUCCUUAAUUAGGUUUGUAUGUACUGAAUAUACUGCAGCUAGAGGAAAACUUUUCCUAGAAAACUGAAAGACUCAUGCAAGAUGUUAAAAUAAUCUUAGCUUUAUCUUUUGGGUAAUAUCAGUACCACUUCAGUGAUAAUCUUACUUUUAACUACACGUAUACUAUUAAUAGUUCUGAGCUAACUAAGAUGUUGUACAAGCCCGAGGCAACCUUGUUUGCAAAGAUCAUAAUUUCCGAUAUAGUAGUAUGGAACUAUUAGCAUCUAAAUGAAGGUAGUGUCAUUUAAAUGAAGCCAGCGUGAGUGUCAACAAGUGAUGUAAUAUCAAUAAUUUUGCACUCUCUUCUUUGCCUAACUUCAGCUCUUUUUGGAAGAAAUAACUUACCUAUUUCUUAUUCUUUAGUAUGUAUCUCGCACUCAAGGCACUGGAUUCUGGGUUGCUUGCCAAGAUGAUUGGCAUAGCAUGACUCCUGUCAGAGGUGUUUUGCUUCUACUCCUGGAUUUAUGCUGCAAAGCUGUUGAUAAAGCUACUAUAUAAGAAAACUGCACAACAAAUACAUCUAGAGAGCGAGAGAUACAGGCUGGUUUAAACAAUGUAUAAUGGUUUGUGCCAGUCCACAGGUGUAUUCUUCACGUCCAAAGAAUCUCAUUUAUAUGUUCUAUUAUGUGUGGCACAAGAAUUAAAGGUUACUAGGACCCCUGAGCUCACGAGAUUGAGGUGGCAAGGUCAGAUCUCCCUCUUUUCCAUGAAAUUGACCCGAAGGACCCAUUGAAAGCAUUGGAAAUUUGAACAAUGUACUGCAUGGUUUAAUUAUCCAGAAGGCAAGGUCUUCUUGGCGAUGAUGCAAGGAUUGACAUCUGCUUGGUAGCUCUGUAGAUUGGUUGCCCUUUAUUCAUUCUUUGCGGCUCUCCUUUUGCCGCCAUCUACUUCCACCGAGGCAUUCCUCUUCAUUCUAUAACAAGAUGGUGUUCUCUAGCGAGGAAGAUGUGCCCUGGCUGCUGCUUCACAUGUCAACAUGUGUGUCCUUCACUGGCAGCUGAUGUUUCUCUGUUGUCUCCCAGUACCAUAUGUUCGCUUUAUAUGUGUGAUCUUCACUGGCAGAUGAGGCUUCCCUAUUGUCGUUCUUCAAGUGCUCCGUUUAUGCGCCCAAUACGUAUGCUGCCCGUAACACAUGUCCAUUAGUUAGUUAAAAGUCUACGCUUACUUUGGUAAACAGGAAAGUAAAAUUGAGACAUAAAUGGCUUACCAUCUUUAUUCUAGAAUGUAGAAUGUGGUUUGGAACUGCAUCCAUCUGAAAGUUAAGCCACGCACACAAUGCUUCACAGGUACAGGAAACAAUUAUUGAAUUAAGAGUCUGGUUUAGGAAUACAAGCAAAAUUCUACAUUGAUUCUUUGGUUUAUAUACUUUUCUAUAAAGUAGUGUCAGAAAAUGCGUCUAUUCAACUUUCCUGUCCUUUUCCGUAAUAAUCAUGUUAUUCUUUAGAAUAUAAAUUAUUGUCGACUCAGUUUCUACCCAGCCUAAUUAAGAUGCAUGAAAUCCAUUAGUGUUGUAUUUCAUUUGCAUAGCAUGAUUUGAGCACAUCAAUAUUAUGUGAUUCCAGACUCCAGGAGAUCCUUGGCUGCGAAUGUGUUCUGACUUCAGAUUUCUUAGAGUUGGUUUCUCAGCGCUUACCUAAACGACAUAUCAUAUCUUCAUUAAUAGGUUAGAUUCUCGCUGUGUUCCUCUUUCCAUUUUCAACUACUGAAUUUACUGCAUAUGGUAGUGCUAAUUAACACCUCUAGAUUUUUUUGAUGGUAAAAUAUUUGUUCCCGCAUUAAUUCCCUUUGUUCUACCAACUGUUGUCCAUGCAGAUCUAGGAUUGCAGUGCUAGCAGAUAGGCCUAACUUCACACAUUAUGGUGUUUUUGGCAAAAUGGCCAGCAUAGCUAAUGUAGCUCUUUCCCCAGUAUUCUUCAUUGCCAAUCUUUAAGCCCUUGUGGCUUGAGAUUUUAUCCAUAUAUUUAUUUAAAGGAUGAGGUGCAGAAGCAGCAGUAGGUAAUUCUAUGGUAACCAUCGCACAAUAAUAUACCUAUAAUCUUUUUAAUGGGUACAAUAUAAAAAUAUGACCCUUUGAUCUCCAUAUGGGUAAAGUUAUUCAGUUUUGAGUUUUAGUAUGCAGCCACUAUUUCAGUUCGAGAUUUUAUCCAUAUAUUUAUUUAAAUGAAGAAGUGCAGAAGCAGUUGUUAAUUCUAUAGUAACCAUUGCACAGUAAUGUACCUAUAAUCUUUUUAAUGGGUACACUGCGAAAUUAUGAAUCUUUGAUCUCCGUAUGGGUGAAGUUAUUCAACUUUGAGUUUUCGUAUGCAGCAGCUAUUUCAGUUUGAGUGGUUUGGCUAGAUGGGACAUUGAGUUCACAUUGUUGUAACUAUUUGAGUUUGAGUGUGCACUUUUGUUGACAGGCAAUUGGACAAGUACCUGACUGUUGUUGGACCGACCGCACCUGAUUGGGUCCUGUCCGGAAGCACCACCCCUUUUAGAGGGUUAGCUUAGUUGGCAAUCCACAACAAUGAAGCUUCAGAUACUUAUUCUAAACAGGUUAAUUAUAUUGAAGUUUGGACAUACCAGAGAUCAACCGGCGAGAAGCAUGUAACCAAAGAAUCAGCCUAGAAUCAAGUAUUUUGUCCAGGACCUGCAAUGGAAAAUAUAAGACACUUAUCUAGCACUGUAUUCUAUGUUAGCUCGAAGGAAAAACACUUAGUUAA